rnacentral:rRNA from 1 species
UACGUAGGGUGCGAGCGUUGUCCGGAAUUAUUGGGCGUAAAGAGCUUGUAGGCGGUUUGUCGCGUCUGCCGUGAAAAUCCGGGGCUCAACCCCGGACUUGCGGUGGGUACGGGCAGACUAGAGUGUGGUAGGGGAGACUGGAAUUCCUGGUGUAGCGGUGAAAUGCGCAGAUAUCAGGAGGAACACCAGCGGCGAAGGCGCUGCUCUGGGCCGGUACUGACGCUGAGGAGCGAAAGCGUGGGGAGCGAACAGG